UAGGGGCUUCACAGAUGGACUUCGAGGGUCUGACAGCGCCCCCUUCUUCCCCCGGAAUAGAAGACGAAAUCACCUACAUACAUUUUUUUUUCCUUGGGAGAGUAUUCAUGGCUUUCGUUAGAACCUCAAGAGGUAUCAUCACCUUCAGGAAACUUUUCUGGAAAAAUCCUAUCCGACCCCCAAAUACCAGCAAACCCCUGAUCCACUCCUUACCCCCUACAAUCCUCAGUGUCAGCUGUUAUAUCCAGGGACGGCCAGCUUCCUCUUCCUGCCACCCUGCCUCCCCUGCAGUCUGGUUAAAUGGAAGGGCCAUGGGCUUGGUUCUUCACUGAGUGCCAGGACUGGCUCCUUGCUGAGGGCGGUUUGCACCCUACUGACUCCUGCUUACACCUGGAAGUGAGAGAAAUCCAUAAAUGGCCCAUCUUGGACCAUCGAUGGGUGGCCUACAUCCUGGAAAUACUUGAGGAGCAACCAAACCAGAUCUAACAGCGAGUGAAGUAAGAGCCAAGUAACCUUGCCACCAUCCUUUUACAUAUGCAUCCGAGCUGCCCAAACUCCUUAGUGCACAGAAUCAUGGGUACACUUUCUCUCCAUUCCUAUUUUUUUUUUAAAGAUUUUAUUUAUUUAUUUGAGAGAGAGAGAAUGAGAGAGAGCACAUGAGAGGGAGGAGGGUCAGAGGGAGAAGCAGACUCCCCGCCGAGCAGGGAGCCUGAUGCGGGACUCGAUCCAGGGACUCCAGGAUCAUGACCUGAGCCGAAGGCAGUCGCUUAACCAACUGAGCCACCCAGGCGCCCCUCUUCAUUCCUAUUUCUGUUAGAAUUGAAAACCUUCGAUAUUAAAACAUGGACAAAAAAAAAUUUGGAUGAUCACAGCCUAGAGGGGGUCACCUGGACUUGGGCCUGAUUUCAUGUUUGGCAGAAUCCUCUCAGUGACCGUGGGCCUGCUUUGGGUCCCCAGGACCCUCUGGUCUCUGCUUCUCAGACUUUGAGGAAGCCAGGCAGGAACAGUAGAAGAAGUCUCCAGUUCAAGGUCAUGAAGCACAUCUGCAGUUCCUCUGGCCAUUCUGGGGAAUGAGGCCGCCGCUCCCCUACCUCUGGGUUUUAUCUUCACAGCCCCCACGUCAUCGCCUUCCUAGCCAGAGUGUGCAGAGUGGACUGGCAGGCUCGGUCUGAGGUCAGCAUGGGGUGAGUGGCAGACAGCUUGGUGCCAAGGACUGUACCCACAUGACCCGGCCACCCUACCCCACAUGAAUGCCAACGGCAGAGAUGGGUAUGUGUACAAAAAGUCUCCUUUGCCAACUAUCUGGAUGAACCGAGUUAUCAGCCUGCGUGGGUGGGGGGUGGUUACUGCAGGUGCCAAGAGGGACGGGAGAGACAGGAGCAGGUGAGAUGGCCCAGAAGCAUCUUAAGAGUGAGGCCAGUGGCCACAUGCAUCCUGGAGAGAAUACUGCAUAAUACCUGGCACUUAGCUGGUGCUGAAUACGUGUUAGAGCUUAAUAGUGCUAGUUGAAGCUAGUCUAACUGUGAGGGUUGGAAGGACCCUCUGAAAUUAUCCUUUCCCUCAGAAACCGAAUCCCAUUUACAGCACUGCCCAGGGAGCCACUCGGCCUCACCUUCAGCAUGCCCGGGCUUGGAGUCAAGCUGUGAGAUGCGUGCAAAACUGAGCCUUGGUUUCCUCCUCUGUAAAAUGGGGAGAAUCGGGGCAUCUGGCUGGCCCAGUCGCUAGAGCAUGAGACUCUUGAUCUCGGGGUUGUGAAUUCAAGCCCCACGUGGGGAAUAGAGCUUACUUAAAAUAAAAAUAAAAUGGGGAGAAUAGUACCUCCCUUACUGUGAGAAAAUGUAGACAGGGUGUAAUACAGAAGCUGGUACACCAGGUUCUCAAUAAAAUUCUCCUCCUCCUCCUCCUUCUUCACAACAACAGCACAAAUUGCUUUCCUGGUUUAUACACUGGUACGGUGGCUAGCAAAGUAUGUCCCUGGACCAGCAACAUCAGGAUGUCCUGGGAACUUGUUAGAAAUGAAGAUUCUCGGGGCGCCUCCGACUCUUGAGUUUGACUCAGGUCAUGAUCUAGGCUCAGGUCAUGAUCUCAGAGUCAUGAAAUCGAGCCCUGCCUCAGGCUCUGUGCUGAUUUUCUCUCUCUCUCUCUCUCUCUCUUUCCCUCUCCCUCUGCCCCUCCCCCCACCCCUCACUCCUGCCCGCACUCUCUCUAAAAAGAAAGAAAGAAAGAUUCUCUAGGGGUGCCUGGCUGGCUCAGUCAGUAGAGCACGUGACUCUUGAUCUUGGGGUUGUAAGUUAGAGCCCUAUGUUGGGUGCGAAAUUACUUAAAAAUAAAAUUAAAAAAAAAAAAGAAAGAAAGAAACGCAGAUUCUCAGUUCUGCCCCAGACCUGCUGGAUCAGAAAUUCUGGGGGUGCGGCUCAAUAAUCUUUGGUAAGCCCUCCAGGGUACUGAGCUGCAGCUACAGUUUGCAAAUGACUGCUUUAGAGCCACAAAGGAAAAGUCUAAUUCCCAUUCUACAGAGAGCCAUUCACUAUUUGAAGACAUUUUUCAUGUUCUUCCUUGACAAGUUUCAUUGUCCCCAGCAACAUCCUCUCCACUUCCUUCAGCCAUCCUUCAUUGGCCAUGUAUUCCAGACCCCUUGCCAUGCUUUUCUCCAUUCAUGUCAUGCUCUGACUGUUAAUGACCUUCAUAAAAAUGGUCCCGAGUGGUCUAAGCAGCACCGAAUGCAAUGGGUUCGCUGCCUCCUCUUUUCUAGAAAUUUUGACAGCUUUUUAUUGAGUGCCCACUCUGUGCUAAGCACAUGACCUACAAUAACUUUUUGUUUAUAUUUUUUGAAGUAAGUUCUAUGCCCAACAUGGGGCUCGAACUCACGACCCUGAGAUCAAGAGUCACAUGCUCUACCAACUAAGUCAGCCAGGCACCCCUUGUUUACUUUUUUUUUUUUAAUUGGGGUUAAACUUACAUAGAUUAAAAUGCACAAGUCUUAAGUGAACAACUUGAAUUUGUAUAUGUGUACAUACCCAGGUGACCACCACCCAGAUCAAGAUACAGAAUAUUUCCAGCACCCACCCCGGAAAUGGUAGUGUGGUUGUUUAAUAUUAUGUCUGUGAGAACAUAAGUUCAUAAUUCUUCAUUGCUAUGCAGUAUGCCACCGUAUACAUACACAUAAUUUAUUUGCAUGCAAUUUUAUUGCAUACAAAUUUAUACACACACAAUUUAUUUAGCCCAUCUGCUAUUGAUGGACAUUCAGGUUGUUUCCAGUUUGGAGCUAUUAUAAAUAAAGCUGGUUUGGACAUUCAUGUACUUGUCUUUUGGGGGACAUAAGCAUUCAUUCUAUUGAGGAUAUGCCCAAAAGUGAAGUUGCGAGGCCAUAGGAUUGGUUUAGCUUUAGGAGAUGUUGCCAAACAGUUAUCCAAAGGGAUUGUAUCAGCAUACCCUCCUCCAGAGUUCCAGUUGCUCCGCAUCCUUGUCACCAGUCAUGUUCAUUUUAACCCUCAUGUUGGGAGGACACUAGUUUCUUAGGGGUUUUCAUCUGCGUUUCUCUAAUAACAGAUACUGUUCAGUAUUUUUUUAAUGUACUUAUUGGCCACUUGUUCAACUUCUUUUGUGAAACGCCCCUUCAAGUUUUCUAUCUACUUUUUUUUUAAAGAUUUAUGUAUUUAUUUUAGAGAAAGAGUGAGAGAGCGCUCAGGUGGGGAGGGUCAAAGUGAGGGGGAGAGAGAGAAUUUUUUUUAAAUUUUUUAUUGUUAUGUUAGUCACCAUACAUUACAUCAUUAGUUUUUGAUAUAGUGUUCCAUGAUUCAUUGUUUGUGGAUAACACCCAGUGCUCCAUGCAGAACGUGCCCUCUUUAAUACCCAUCACCAGGCUAACCCAUCCUCCCACCCCCCCUCUAGAGGAGAGAGAGAAUCUUAGGCAGGCUCCAUGCCCAGCGCAGAGCCCCACGUGGGGCUCGAUCCCAUGGUCCUGAGAUCAUGAUGUGAGCUGAAAUCGAGAGUCGGUCACUUAACCAACUGAGCCACCCAGGCGCCCCAAGUCUUCUGCCUACUUUUAACAUUGGGUUGUCUGUCCUUAGAAAAAUUAUGUAGGAGUUUUUGUUAUAUUCUAGAUAUGAGUCUUUUCUCAGUUACACAUAUUAUAAAUAUCUUCUACUUGUCUGUGCCUACAUUAUCUUUAAUCUUCACGAUGAUCCUAUGACGUAGGCAUUAUUAUCCUUUUUUUAUGGAUGAGGAAACUGCGGCUCAAGAAGGCAGAGUAACUUGCCCAAAGUCACACAGUUAGAAAGUAUCGAAGCUGAAUUUUGAGCCCACUCCAAAGUCUGGAUCCUCCCCAUGACACCAUCUGCCUCUCACAUUCAACUCCUACUUACACACCCAAGGCUGGUGACAUUUUCCCCCAGGAACUGCUAUUUUUUUUAAAGAUUUUAUUUAUUUAUUUGUCAGAGAGAGAGCACAAGCAGAGAGAGCAGGAGAGAGACAAACAGGCUCUCCGCUGAGCAGGGAGCCCGAUGUGGGGCUCAAUCCCAGGACCCUAGGAUCAUGACCUGAGCCAAAGGCAGACACUUAACCGACUGAGCCACCCAGGUGUCCCUCCCCCCCCCACCCCCCGCCCCCUGGAACUGCCAUUGAACUAAGUCUUCCUGUCUUGUCUAGGCACAGUUGAUUUAUUGAAAUCCUAUGCAGUAUAGGACUUGGUAUAUGUGGAAUAACGGGAAGAAUGUGGAAUCAGGAGCAAGACAGACCAGCACUAGGUUUUGGCCCCGCACUUGACGGUCAAUUCAGGGCUGAACAUUGUCAGCCCAAUUCUCUUCAAAUGCAAAAUAUCACAUCCUUACAGCGUUGUGGUGGGCAGAAAUGAGAGCACACUGGAGCCUCUGGUAGAACACCGAGUUCGGUGCCGCCUACACUUCCUUAGUUGCCUUCCCCUACCCUGAGCCUCAUGUAAUUUCCGUUUGGGUUUCUCUUCCCUGCCAGCACACUUUGGAUCCCAGUUCACCCAUGCCGCCGAAGGGCUAUUCCUCCAGCUGUCCCAGAUUAAUGGCCCCUCACAUUCCUAAUGGAUGGUGGAUGGUUACUAAUCGUCAUCCAACUCAUUGAGAAAAAUAUUGAACACAAUGCACCGUUCUCCACCCUCCUAAUUAACCUUUCAUUUGGAGCUCAGGUGAGCUAUUCAUCCUGCGGGAGCUCCCCCACCCCCCAUUGCUACCUGAGGUGCCUGCCUGUGUUCCCUCCCUCUCCACUUACC